UUCUGACAACGUGAUUCGUUCAGAAUGGUCACGUGACAUGCUCUGACAUUUCCGCGGUAGUUCAGAAUGUCGAAAGAAGUGCGUCAAAAAUCACCUCGGAGAAGACGAAAACAGUUGUUAUCAGCAAGAAGACCCAGGGGAUUACACACUAAGACAGCAGAUGAUGAAAUGUCUUCACAUAGUACGUCGAUAUGUCAACUGUCGUUCAGAAAACAGGAGUUUUCAGACAGCGGAGAUAUCAUCAGGUGAUUCAACGGUAGGGAGAGGUAGAGGAAGAGGGAGAGGGAGAGGACGGGGACAGAGAGGCAGUGGAUCGGCGGGAGCUAGGCGAGGAAGAGGAUGAGGAAGAGGACGCUUGGCAGCUUCAAGAGAUGAUCGCGAAAGAAUUGAAGAUUUCCAAAGGCAGAGAAGAGAAGUGACAGAGAGACUUCUGCAGGAGAUGAGCCUUGAGGAUCACAGACGCCUCACAGCUGGACUGUUGGAGAGGCAGCCGGGUCUGAUUUUUGAUCUAUUGAUGGAGCAUCAGCGAAGAAAUGGUGCCCCUACAUCCGCGGCGGUACCUUGGUGUACCUGUAACCACUGCAGAGACAUGCCGACAGACAGAGAGCGGAAAUGCUGUGGACAAGACCCUGCCCACUGUGUGAGCCUCCUUCCACAUUUCACACAGUACUGCCUGGAUGAGGGUUAUCUGCAAAUACAUAGGCAGUAUCGGGAGGAUCUCACAGCAUUCGGAAAUGUAAGGGAGCCCGGUGAUGACAACCGUGAAUACAGGCACGCAGCUUACAGACACUUUAUUUUCUGGCAGCAUGGCGCAUUAGGACAGGGGAACAGGAGAGUGAUUCCCAGCUGCUGUGUUUGCAGGAUAAGGGAAAAGUUCCCAGACCCUCAGGGACAAUACACUGGCUACAUUCCAGGGAUAUAAGUAAAAUAAAUAUUGUAAAUAGUUAUAUUUCUAUAUGUUGUAUUCUUUGGAAUUCUGUUGACUUCUAACUUUGAUACAAAGAAUAAAAGAUUUGUUAUUUGA